rnacentral:rRNA from 1 species
UACGUAGGGCGCAAGCGUUGUCCGGAAUUACUGGGCGUAAAGCGCACGUAGGCGGCUCUUUAAGUCGGGGGUGAAAUCCUGGAGCUCAACUCCAGAACUGCCUUCGAUACUGAAGAGCUUGAGUCCGGGAGAGGUGAGUGGAACUGCGAGUGUAGAGGUGAAAUUCGUAGAUAUUCGCAAGAACACCAGUGGCGAAAGGCGGCCUCCAGCUGGCCCGGUGAC